AUAAGCGUCGGUAAGGUGAUAUGAACCGUUAUAACCGGCGAUUUCCGAAUGGGGAAACCCAGUGUGAUUCGUCACACUAUCAUUACGUGAAUACAUAGCGUAAUGAAGCGAACCGGGGGAACUGAAACAUCUAAGUACCCCGAGGAAAAGAAAUCAACCGAGAUUCCCCCAGUAGCGGCGAGCGAACGGGGAGCAGCCCAGAGUCUGAAUCAGCUUGUGUGUUAGUGGAACGGUCUGGAAAGUCCGACGGUACAGGGUGAUAGUCCCGUACACCAAAAUGCACAGGUUGUGAACUCGAAGAGUAGGGCGGGACACGUGGUAUCCUGUCUGAAUAUGGGGGGACCAUCCUCCAAGGCUAAAUACUCCUGACUGACCGAUAGUGAACCAGUACCGUGAGGGAAAGGCGAAAAGAACCCCGGCGAGGGGAGUGAAAAAGAACCUGAAACCGUGUACGUACAAGCAGUGGGAGCCUCUUUAUGGGGUGACUGCGUACCUUUUGUAUAAUGGGUCAGCGACUUAUAUUCUGUAGCAAGGUUAACCGUAUAGGGGAGCCGAAGGGAAACCGAGUCUUAACUGGGCGUUAAGUUGCAGGGUAUAGACCCGAAACCCGGUGAUCUAGCCAUGGGCAGGUUGAAGGUUGGGUAACACUAACUGGAGGACCGAACCGACUAAUGUUGAAAAAUUAGCGGAUGACUUGUGGCUGGGGGUGAAAGGCCAAUCAAACCGGGAGAUAGCUGGUUCUCCCCGAAAGCUAUUUAGGUAGCGCCUCGUGAAUUCAUCUUCGGGGGUAGAGCACUGUUUCGGCUAGGGGGUCAUCCCGACUUACCAACCCGAUGCAAACUGCGAAUACCGAAGAAUGUUAUCACGGGAGACACACGGCGGGUGCUAACGUCCGUCGUGAAGAGGGAAACAACCCAGACCGCCAGCUAAGGUCCCAAAGUCAUGGUUAAGUGGGAAACGAUGUGGGAAGGCACAGACAGCCAGGAUGUUGGCUUAGAAGCAGCCAUCAUUUAAAGAAAGCGUAAUAGCUCACUGGUCGAGUCGGCCUGCGCGGAAGAUGUAACGGGGCUAAACCAUGCACCGAAGCUGCGGCAGCGACACUAUGUGUUGUUGGGUAGGGGAGCGUUCUGUAAGCCGUUGAAGGUGUACUGUGAGGUAUGCUGGAGGUAUCAGAAGUGCGAAUGCUGACAUAAGUAACGAUAAUGCGGGUGAAAAACCCGCACGCCGGAAGACCAAGGGUUCCUGUCCAACGUUAAUCGGGGCAGGGUGAGUCGACCCCUAAGGCGAGGCCGAAAGGCGUAGUCGAUGGGAAACAGGUUAAUAUUCCUGUACUUGGUGUUACUGCGAAGGGGGGACGGAGAAGGCUAUGUUAGCCGGGCGACGGUUGUCCCGGUUUAAGCAUGUAGGCGGAGGUUCCAGGUAAAUCCGGUACCUUUUUAACGCUGAGGUGUGAUGACGAGGCACUACGGUGCUGAAGUAACAAAUGCCCUGCUUCCAGGAAAAGCCUCUAAGCAUCAGGUAACACGAAAUCGUACCCCAAACCGACACAGGUGGUCAGGUAGAGAAUACCAAGGCGCUUGAGAGAACUCGGGUGAAGGAACUAGGCAAAAUGGUGCCGUAACUUCGGGAGAAG
rnacentral:rRNA from 1 species